rfam:Pristionchus pacificus strain PS312 contig6246, whole genome shotgun sequence.
UCUCCAUUUCGCACGCUCUCUCGACCGUCAGAGAAGCGAGACAGCGUGUGAAAUGGAGGGA